GGGUUCCUCGGCGUUGGCCCCGCCCAAGGGAGUGGAGGGGCAGGCUUAGGAAGGUUCCCGCGCGCUUGGAAGGGGCGGAGAGAGGUGGGCGUGGGAAGGUAAGAGCCGAAAGCCGUCUUUUGCAUUUGCUCUGGAAAAUCAAUUUGUCCUUGUAGGGUCCGUGCUGGCCAAAUGGUGAAUGUGCUGAAACAAAAUUUACCGUUCAACGGUCCCAAAACUAUUUAGAGGGAAAAGAAGUUUAAACAAAUACACUUCCAAACGUUGUAACAAGUUUGCAUCAUUCAUAUGCAUGAAGUUAUCAAAACUUUUAUUGCUUCCUCCCCAGAUGAGUGUUGGGAUCCGAAAAAAUGCAGGCACUCCUUCCUCCCCAUCGCCUCCCUCCCGCUCUUUGCCGAGGACCUGCUAGGGAGUCGGCGCUCUUGCAUAACUACUGCACACUGCCUAGGUGGAUAGGGAUGUCCUGGGUCCGAAGUAAUCACAGCGACUGGCAGGUUUCUCCUGCCUGGCCGAUAAAUGAAGAACUCAGAGCCUGAACCCAAGUUCAAAACAAGAUGCCAGAAGAAAAGAUCAAAGAGCUUAGAACAGAAUUCCAGCAAAAUUGAACACAGGAACACUGGUCGUCAAGUUACUCAUAAAUUUCAGGACCUCUUCCACUGCAUCUACUGGCAGAUAGAGGGCCAUGCCCACCAUCAUCUCUACCAGUGCCACCUCUAUGCGAAGGAGUUGUUCCUCCUCUUCCACUUCCUUUACCGGGAAUAAAUGGUAAACCAUCAUCACCACCACAAUCAUUUUUGUUCAAGGCCCUCCUCCUCCAUCACUACCUUUGUUGGGGGACCUUUCGCUCCAGGAUCAUCACUUGCUCUAACUUAAAGAAUGAAGCAGAAAUAAAUGUAUAAAACUAAACCUCA
rnacentral:lncRNA from 1 species